rnacentral:rRNA from 1 species
UGCAUUAUUUGACGUUACCUACAGAAGAAGCACCGGCUAACUCCGUGCCAGCAGCCGCGGUAAUACGGAGGGUGCGAGCGUUAAUCGGAAUUACUGGGCGUAAAGCGCAUGCAGGCGGCCUGUUAAGUCAGAUGUGAAAGCCCGGGGCGUUAACCUCGGAAUUGCAUUUGAAACUGGCAGGCUAGAGUCUUGUAGAGGGGGGUAGGGAAUUUCUAGGUGUAGCGGUGAAAUAGCGUAGAGAUCUGAAGGAAUACCAGUGGCGAAGGCGGCCCCCUCGGACAAAGACUGACGCUCAGAUGCGAAAGCGUGGGGAGCAAACAGGAUUAGAUACCCCUGGUAG